UACAGAGGGUGCAAGCGUUAAUCGGAAUUACUGGGCGUAAAGCGUGCGUAGACGGUUACAUAGGUCGGGUGUGAAAGCCCCGGGCUCAACCUGGGAAUUGCAUUCGAGACUGCGUAGCUAGGGUGCGGAAGAGGGAAGCGGAAUUUCCGGUGUAGCGGUGAAAUGCGUAGAUAUCGGAAGGAACACCAGUGGCGAAAGCGGCUUCCUGGUCCAGCACCGACGUUCAGGCACGAAAGCGUGGGGAGCAAACAGG
rnacentral:rRNA from 1 species